UCAGAUAUGGUGGAAGGGAUAACAUUGCCACACUUCAUAUGUACGGCAAGAACUCAGGGUUCAAUUCCCUGUAUCUGAA
rnacentral:tRNA from 1 species